rnacentral:rRNA from 1 species
AUUGAACGCUGGCGGCAGGCUUAACACAUGCAAGUCGAGCGGAGAUGAGGUGCUUGCACCUUAUCUUAGCGGCGGACGGGUGAGUAAUGCUUAGGAAUCUGCCUAUUAGUGGGGGACAACAUUCCGAAAGGAAUGCUAAUACCGCAUACGUCCUACGGGAGAAAGCAGGGGAUCUUCGGACCUUGCGCUAAUAGCUGGGCCUAAGUCGGAUUAGCUAGUUGGUGGGGUAAAGGCCUACCAAGGCGACGAUCUGUAGCGGGUCUGAGAGGAUGAUCCGCCACACUGGGACUGAGACACGGCCCAGACUCCUACGGGAGGCAGCAGUGGGGAAUAUUGGACAAUGGGCGAAAGCCUGAUCCAGCCAUGCCGCGUGUGUGAAGAAGGCCUUCGGGUUGUAAAGCACUUUAAGCGAGGAGGAAGGUUCGUCACCUAAUACGUGACGGAAUUGACGUUACUCGCAGAAUAAGCACCGGCUAACUCUGUGCCAGCAGCCGCCGUAAGAC